rnacentral:ncRNA from 1 species
GAACUCCGUACACGGGUGGAACAGCCGAAAGGCAUCCAACGCUUGCUGUUUAUGCGUGGUUAGCCCUAAAUACGGGGUUCUU